CCUACGGGUGGCAGCAGUGGGGAAUAUUGCACAAUGGGGGAUACCCUGAUGCAGCGACGCCGCGUGAGUGAAGAAGGAAUUCGGUAUGGAAAGCUCUAUCAGCAGGGAAGAAAAGGACGGUACGUGAGUAAGAAGCCACGGAUAACUACGAGCCAGAAGCCGCGGUAAAACGGAGGGGGCAAGCGUUAUACGGAUUUUCUGGGUGUAAAGGGAGCGUAGGGGGGAGUGUAAGUGUGGAGUGAAAGGGGGGGGCUCAACCCGCGGACUGCUCUUGAAACUGUACGGCUGGAGUGCAGUAGAGGUAAGUGGAAUUCCUAGUGUAGCGGUGAAAUGCGUAGAUAUUAGGCGGAACUCCAGUGGCGAAGGCGGCUUACUGAACUGUAACUGACGUUGAGGCUCGAAAGCGUGGGGAGCAAACAGGAUUAGAUACCCCAGUAGUC
rnacentral:rRNA from 1 species